UACGUAGGGUCCAAGCGUUAUCCGGAAUUACUGGGCGUAAAGCGUGCGUAGGUGGAUAGUUAAGUGUGACAUUAAAUCCAGUGGCUCAACCAUUUGGCUGUGUUGCAUACUGACUAUCUAGAGGACAUGAGAGGCAAGUGGAAUUACUGGUGUAGCAGUGAAAUGCGUAGAUAUCAGUAGGAACACCAAUGGCGAAGGCAGCUUGCUGGCAUGUAUCUGGACGCUAAGGCACGAAAGCGUGGGGAGCGAACAGG
rnacentral:rRNA from 1 species